CUGAGACAAAACUGAAAGCAAGUUUCACGUGAAGACGCCUGAAGAGAAGCAGAGACGAUUACAGACGUUUUGGAUCUCAGACGACUGCAGACAUACAGAGCAGAAUCUCCAGAGCUCAGCUAUGUGUCUAUGAAGAGCAAUGACUCAGUGAUUCACCCUCCUGUUCUCAGUAAUGAAGGGUCUAGUACUGACCUGAGCCUGCAGACAUUAAAUGCAGAACCUCCAGAGCCCAGCUGUGUGUCUAUGAAGAGCAAUGACUCAGUGACUCAGCCACCUGGUUUCAGUAAUGAAAGUACCAGUACUGACC